CAGUAGCCACGGUAAUACAGAGGGUGCGAGCGUUAAUCGGAUUUAGUGGGCGUAAAGCGUGCGUAGGCGGCUUCUUAAGUCGGAUGUGAAAUCCCUGAGCUUAACUUAGGAAUUGCAUUCGAUACUGGGAAGCUAGAGUAUGGGAGAGGAUGGUAGAAUUCCAGGUGUAGCGGUGAAAUGCGUAGAGAUCUGGAGGAAUACCGAUGGCGAAGGCAGCCAUCUGGCCUAAUACUGACGCUGAGGUACGAAAGCAUGGGGAGCAAACAGGAUUAGAUACCCCCGUAGUCCCUGUCUCUUAUAC
rnacentral:rRNA from 1 species